rnacentral:rRNA from 1 species
UUAAUUAAUUAUUAUCAGCGCGGCCUAUCAGCUUGUUGGUGAGGUAACGGCUCACCAAGGCAUCGACGGGUAGCUGGUCUGAGAGGAUGAUCAGCCACGCUGGGACUGAGACACGGCCCAGACUCCUACGGGAGGCAGCAGUGGGGAAUCUUGCGCAAUGGGCGAAAGCCUGACGCAGCAACGCCGCGUGCGAGAGGAAGGCCUUAGGGUUGUAAAUCGCUUUCGGCAGGGACGAAAUUGACGGUACCUGCAGAAGAAGCCCCGGCCAACUACGUGCCAGCAGCCGCGGUAACACGUAGGGGGCGAGCGUUGUCCGGAUUUAUUGGGCGUAAAGAGCUCGUAGGCGGCUCAGUAAGUCUACUGUGAAAGCUCCAGGCUCAACCUGGAGAGGCCAGUGGAUACUGCUGUGGCUAGAGUCCGGUAGGGGAGCGUGGAAUUCCCAGUGUAGCGGUGGAAUGCGCAGAUAUUGGGAGGAACACCAGCGGCGAAGGCGGCGCUCUGGACCGGAACUGACGCUGAGGAGCGAAAGCAUGGGUAGCAAACAGGAUUAGAUACCCUGGUAGUCCAUGCCGUAAACGUUGGGCACUAGGUGUGGGAUCCCGUCAACGGAUUCCGUGCCGUAGCUAACGCAUUAAGUGCCCCGCCUGGGGAGUACG